rnacentral:rRNA from 1 species
GUUCCUACGGGAGGCAGCAGUGGGGAAUAUUGCACAAUGGGGGAAACCCUGAUGCAGCAACGCCGCGUGAGUGAAGAAGUAUUUCGGUAUGUAAAGCUCUAUCAGUAGGGAAGAAGAAAGACGGUACCUGACUAAGAAGCCCCGGCUAACUACGUGCCAGCAGCCGCGGUAAUACGUAGGGGGCAAGCGUUAUCCGGAUUUACUGGGUGUAAAGGGUGCGUAGGUGGCAGGGCAAGUCAGAUGUGAAAGCCCGGGGCCCAACCCCGGUACUGCAUUUGAAACUGUCCGGCUGGAGUGCAGGAGAG